ensembl:lncRNA
AUGUCCAUGUGGCCGAUGUCCCCCUGUCCCUGUGUCCCCAUGUCCCCGUGUCCCAAUGUCUGUUUGUCCCUGUGUCCGUGUCUCCCAAUGUCCAUAUGGCUGAUGUCCCCAUGUCCGUCUGUCUUCAUGUCCAUGUGUCCCCAUGUCCAUAUGGCUGAUGUCCCCAUGUCUGUGUCCCCAUGUCCAUGUGUCCGUCUGUCCGUUUCUCCCCAUGUCUGUCUGUCCCCCUGUUCAUGUGUCCCCAUGUCCAUAGGGCCCAUGUCCAUUUGUCCAUGUGUCCAUGUGUCUGUCUGUCCCUGUGUCCCAAUGUCCAUUAUGUCCAUGUGUCCGUGUGUCUCCAUGUCCAUACAGCCAAUGUCCCCAUGUCCAGAUGUCCCCAUGUCCAUCUGUCCAUGUGCCCCAGUGUCCUUGUGUCCCCAUGUCCACAGGGCUGAUGUCCUCAUGUCCCUGUGUCUCCAUGUCUGUGUGUCUGUUUGCCCCCAUGUCCAUGUGUCCCCAUGUCCCUGCAGCCAAUGUCCCCAUGUCUGUCUGUCCCCGUGUCUGGUGUCCCCAUGUCCAUUUGCCCCUGUGUUCAUGUGUCCCCAUGUCUGUCUGUCCCCAUGUCUGUGUGUCCAUGUGUCCCAAUGUCCUUGCGUCAGUGUGUCCCUGUGUCCAUAUGGCCAAUGUCCUCAUGUCUGUGUGUCCCCAUGUCCGUGUGUCCCUGUGUCCCCAUGUCCUCAUGUUCUCAUGUCCGUGUGUCCCAAUGUCCCUGUGUCCCCAUGUCCAUUUGUCCAUAUGCCCCCAUGUUCAUGUAUCCGUGUGUCCCUGUGUCCCCAUGGCCAAUGUCCUCAUGUCCCUGUGCCCCCGUGUCCGUGUGUCCCCAUGUCUGUGUGUCCAUGUAUCCCCAUCUACCUGUGUCCCAAUGUCCAUCUGUCCCACAUCCAUGUCCCCAUGUCAGUGUCCGUGUGUCCCACACCUGUCUGUCCCCAGUUCCCUGUGUCCCCACAUUGGCCGUGUCCAUCUGUCCCUGUGUCCCCAAGUUGUGUCCAUGUGUCCCCAUGUCUGUGUGUCCCACAUCCCUAUGUCCCACAUCCACAUCUGUCUAUCUGUCCCCAUGUCCCUGUGUCCCAUGUCCAUAUGUCUCAUGUCCAUGUGUCUGUCUGUCUGUCCCCAUGUCUCCAUAUCCAUGUGUCUCUGUCCCCAUGUCCCUGUGUCCCACAUCCACAUGUCUGUCUGUCCCCAUGUCCCCAUGUCCCAUGUCCAUGUGUCUGUCUGUCUGUCCCCAUGUCCCCAUGUCUGUGUCUCAUGUCCAUGUGUCUGUCUCCAUGUCCCCUUGCCCACGUGUCUGUCUGUCUCCAUGUCCAUGUGUCUCUGUUCCCAUGUCCUCAUGCCCAUGUCUGUCUGUCUGUCCCCAUGUCCCUGUGUCCCAUGUCCAUGUGUCUGUCUGUCCCCAUGUCCCUGUGUCCCCAUGUCCCCAUGUCCCCUGUCCCUGUGUCCCCAUGUCCCUGUGUCCCCAUGAUGUCCCCAUGAUGUCCCCAUGAUGUCCUGGUGUCCCCGUGUCCCCAUGUCCAUGUCUCCAUGUCCCCAUGAUGUCCUCAUGUCCCUGUGUCCCCUGUCCCCAUGUCCCUGUGAUGUCCCCAUGUCUCCAUGUCCCCGUGUCCCCAUGUCCCCGUGUCCCCAUGUCUCCAUGUCCCCUUGAUGUCCUCAUGUCCCCGUGUCCCCAUGUCCCUGUGAUGUCCCCAUGUCCCUGUCGUGUCCCCAUGUCGCUGUGAUGUCCCCGUGUCCCCAUGUCCCCGUGUCCCCAUUGCAUUGCCCCUGCCACCAGCAGCACACAGUGGUCACCAUGGGGUGACAUUCUGGGUCAUUCUAUGGAUGGAGGGGUGACACAAGGGGGUGGUGGCACCAGGGGCUGUUCUAGGUGACCCUAUGGACUGAGAGGGGACACAAUGGGGUGGUGGCACCUGUGGGACAUAGGGCUCUUCUAAGUGACCCUACAGACUGGCAGGACACUGGGUGGUGGCCCUUGGACCACACGGUGACAUUCUAGGUGACUCUGUGGAUCAAGGAGGAGCCAUGGGGAUGGUGGCACCAGGGGCUAUUCUAGGUGACCCUGUGGGCUGAGAGGGGCACAAGGGGGUGGUGGCACCAGGGUCUGUUCUUGUUGAUCCUGUGGAUCAAGGAGGAAUAAUAGGGGUGGUGGCCCAUGUUCUAGGUGACCCUACAGACUGGCAGGACAUUGGGUAAUGGCCCCUGGACCACAGGGUGACAUUUUAGGUGACCCUAUGGGCUGAGGGGGGACACAAAGGGGUGGUGGCACCAGGGGCUGUUCUAGGUGAUCCUGUGGAUUGAGGGGGACACAAGGGGUGGUGGCACCUGUGGGACAUAGGGCUCUUCUAAGUGACCCUACAGACUGGCAGGACAUUGGGUGAUGGCCCCUGGACCACAGGGUGAUGUUCUAGGUGUCCCUGUGGAUCAAGGAUGGGCCACGGGGGUGGUGGCCCACAUUCUAGGUGUCCCUAUGGAUCAAGGA